CUCCGUGAUGAAAAACACUAUCUACAUUAUACGCUGGAAUUACCGGCUGAGACCUGCGGGUCUCUGAUGUUGCUUAGAGGCUGUUACUGAUG
rnacentral:snoRNA from 1 species